GACGAACGCUGGCGGCGUGCCUAAUACAUGCAAGUCGAGCGCAGGAAACUGACGGAACUCUUCGGAGGGAAGGCAGUGGAAUGAGCGGCGGACGGGUGAGUAACACGUAAGGAACCUGCCCCAAGGAUUGGGAUAACUCCGAAAAAUCGGAGCUAAUACCGGAUAGUUCAACGGACCGCAUGGUCCGCUGACGAAAGGCGCUCCGGCGUCACCUUGAGAUGGCCUUGCGGUGCAUUAGCUAGUUGGUGGGGUAACGGCCCACCAAGGCGACGAUGCAUAGCCGACCUGAGAGGGUGAUCGGCCACACUGGGACUGAGACACGGCCCAGACUCCUACGGGAGGCAGCAGUAGGGAAUCUUCCACAAUGGACGAAAGUCUGAUGGAGCAACGCCGCGUGAGUGAUGAAGGUUUUCGGAUCGUAAAACUCUGUUGUAAGGGAAGAACACGUACGAGAGGAAAUGCUCGUACCUUGACGGUACCUUACGAGAAAGCCACGGCUAACUACGUGCCAGCCGCCGCGGUAAAAC
rnacentral:rRNA from 1 species